GCGCAGCAGUCGAGAAUACUUUACAAUGUGCGAAAGCACGAUAAGGGAACUCUGAGUGCCUCCUAAGGAGGCUGUUCAGGUGUCUAAAAAGCACCUGAAGGAAGGGCUGGGUAAGACCGGUGCCAGCCGCCGCGGUAACACCGGCAGCCCAAGUGGUAGCCACGUUUAUUGGGUCUAAAGCGUCCGUAGCCGGCUGGGUAAGUUCCUUGGGAAAUUUGGCUGCUUAACAGUCAAGCUUUCAGGGAAUACUGCUCGGCUUGGGACCGGGAGAGGUCAGAGGUACUCCAGGGGUAGGGGUGAAAUCCAUUAAUCCUUGGGGGGACCACCGGUAGCGAAGGCGUCUGACCAGACCGGGUCCGACGGUGAGGGACGAA
rnacentral:rRNA from 1 species